CCACCUGACCCCAUGCCGAACUCAGAAGUGAAACGCCGCAGCGCCGAUGGUAGUGUGGGGCCUCCCCAUGCGAGAGUAGGGAACUGCCAGGC
rnacentral:rRNA from 2 species